rnacentral:rRNA from 1 species
GCCCAAGAGAUCGGGAUAACACCUGGAAACAGAUGCUAAUACCGGAUAACAACAGAUGAUGCCUAUCAACUGUUUUAAAAAGAUGGUUCUGCUAUCACUCUUGGAUGGACCUGCGGUGCAUUAGCUAGUUGGUAGGGUAACGGCCUACCAAGGCGAUGAUGCAUAGCCCGAGUUGAGAGACUGAUCGGGCCACAUUGGGGACUGAGACACGGGGCCCAAACUCCUACGGGGGGAGGGGCAGCAGUAGGGGGAAUCUUCCACAAUGGACGCAAGUCUGAUGGAGCAACGCCGCGUGAGUGAAGAAGGGUUUCGGCUCGUAAAGCUCUGUUGUUGGUGAAGAAGGACAGGGUAGUAACUGACCUUUGUUUGACGGUAAUCAAUUAGAAAGUCACGGCUAAACUACGUGCCAGCAGCCCGCGGUAAU